ACGAACGCUGGCGGCGUGCCUAAUACAUGCAAGUCGAGCGAAGUUUUUCUGGUGCUUGUACUAGAAAAACUUAGCGGCGAACGGGUGAGUAACACGUAAAGAACCUGCCUCAUAGACUGGGACAACUAUUGGAAACGAUAGCUAAUACCGGAUAACAGCAUUAACUGCAUGGUUGAUGUUUAAAAGUUGGUUUUGCUAACACUAUGAGAUGGCUUUGCGGUGCAUUAGCUAGUUGGUGGGGUAAAGGCCUACCAAGGCGACGAUGCAUAGCCGACCUGAGAGGGUGAUCGGCCACACUGGGACUGAGACACGGCCCAGACUCCUACGGGAGGCAGCAGUAGGGAAUCUUCCGCAAUGGGCGAAAGCCUGACGGAGCAACGCCGCGUGAGUGAAGAAGGAUUUCGGUUCGUAAAGCUCUGUUGUUAGGGAAGAAUGAUUGUGUAGUAACUAUACACAGUAGAGACGGUACCUAACCAGAAAGCCACGGCUAACUACGUG
rnacentral:rRNA from 1 species